AAUUCAUAGACUAUGUUCUUUGUUUACUUUGUACUUCAUUUGUGCAGUGCAAGUUGCAACGCAGCCGGUGCAAUGCUGUCGGAUAUGGUUACCAGUUUGCAGAGUGCUUGCGCUAAUUUAUUCUUCGAUGGGUCAUCUAUGCGUAGACAGUGUUGUGCUUACGGUUGCGAUUCUGUUGUUGAACCAUUCGUGUGGUGCUGCCUGCAUACCCUGCUCUUGUUUUAGCGCUGCAUCCUCAAAUGUGCCUGUGCGCGAAGCCCUCUAAAGGUCCUAAAGAAAUGUCGGGUGAUAGAUGACCAGUGCACUGUCGGCAUAAUUUCGCAUACAAGUCAUCCAUCCUCAGAAGAAAGUAAGUUCGAGCAAGACAAGUUCCGUCUGGCACCCAGCAGCGAAGCAUCUUCCACAUAUUGCAGAAGUUCUCAAGAAUGGGCAGACAUUGUCACAACCGGCAUUACAUCACCCGACGCAAGUAAUCGGAGGCUAGGCAGGAGUAAGUCUUACGCGUUUCAACUGUCGUUUCCGCCCAAAACGGAACACAAGGUCAAACAAGAGACUGAGUAUUCUCAAGGGCUCCAUCGAAGCGAGACUCGGGAAUUAUUCCAUUGCUCUGUGUGUGAUGAAGCAUUUCUCGACGGGGUCAAUUAUGGUAUCGCAUGGUCAAACAUUUACAGGAGAUUCA
rnacentral:lncRNA from 1 species